AAAAAAACAAAAACAAAACAAAGCAAAGCAAAACAAACACACGGCGGCACAAAAAGCAAACUCGUAAUUUCAAAUUAACAGCGUUAUCACGUCUAAGUACUCGUCUCCGGAUGCAUGAGCAAGCAAAAGCCGCCUGGCCGGUGCCAUAAAAGAAUACUUGAAAAUGGGGCUGUCUUUCGCCAAGUUAUUCAGCCGGCUGUUUGCCAAGAAAGAGAUGCGUAUCCUCAUGGUGGGCCUCGAUGCUGCGGGUAAGACCACCAUUUUGUACAAGCUCAAGCUCGGAGAGAUUGUCACCACUAUCCCCACCAUCGGGUUUAACGCGGAAACUGUGGAAUAUAAAAACAUUAGCUUCACUGUGUGGGAUGUGGGUGGCCAGGAUAAGAUUCGUCCUUUGUGGAGACAUUACUUUCAAAAUACACAAGGACUCAUCUUUGUGGUUGACAGCAAUGAUAGGGACCGUGUAGCUGAAGCUAGAGAUGAGCUGCACAGGAUGUUGAAUGAGGAUGAGUUGAGGGAUGCUGUGCUACUAGUUUUUGCAAACAAGCAAGAUCUUCCAAAUGCUAUGAAUGCUGCUGAGAUAACUGAUAAGCUUGGUCUUCAUUCUCUCCGUAUAUCCAGAGCACGUGUGCCCCAUCCGGUGAGGGGCUUUAUGAAGGACUUGACUGGCUAUCAAACAACAUUGCAAACAAGGCAUAGGGACAACUAUAUUUGGGUUGCAACAAGUUGAGUGUACUUGGCAACUAUGUGCUCAAGCGUUUGGUUUCUGUUUCCUCUGUUAGUGUUCAAUGACCCUGAGAUCUCUUGCAACUGAGUAGAGAAGAGAUGUCCAUUCCUUCCCUGCCCUACCGUCAACAACAUACACCGGCGAUCGUUCUCUUUUAUGCCUUAAGCGAUCACUUGCAAUCGAGUAGAGGAAAGCUGUUGAUCUCUUCUUUGCCAUAACCGCUAGCGACAAACACCAGCGAUCAAGUGAAUAGGGAAGCUGUUCGUCUCUUCUUUGUCUUCUCUCUGCUAUUUUGCAGCAUGCUGGAUCAUCUUGGGAUGAGCUGAAGCACAUAAGACAAGCAGUUGGGUUCUUGUUAAGUGUAUCUUGUAUUUUCUAUAUGAAUAAUUUCAAGAGAGCUAUAGAAUAUAAAAAACAUCAAGGAAAUGAAAGUAAUUAGGCACAUAUUUAUACCAUGUUAGAUUUCGAAAUUGAAGUCAUCAUAGGUCUUGGUGCUACUGCAUUUGCACUAAUGUUAUCUUUUGCCCAUUCCAUUGCCAAGUUCUUUGUGACUUCGUUCAUAACCCCAGAAUGAAACUAUGUAGAUUAGUUACCUUUGCUUUUGAUUUAUGAUACAUAAGCUAUGAGUUUGAAGCAUAACAUGAUGUAGAUAGCGCAUUAAUUUAAGACAUAUAGUGUUUGAAGCUAGCUUGAAGUAUUAUAUCAUACCUAACAUAAAUGAUCAGAUACACUGCUUUGUUUUUUGAAAUAUGGAUAUUUCUCAACUUUCUGUGUCAAUUUUCUCAAGCUUACCUUGAUAUAUAUAUUAUAGUUAAGUUUGGUGAGGGAUAGCAAAAAUAUCUUUAGAUGCUGUGUAGGUAGACAAGAGAGGUAGAGCUUU